rnacentral:tRNA from 3 species
GCAGGAGUAGCCGAGCCUGGCCAAAGGCGCGGGACUUAAGAUCCCGUCUCUUAGGGGUUCGUGGGUUCAAAUCCCACCUCCUGCA